rnacentral:rRNA from 1 species
AUUGAACGCUGGCGGCAUGCUUUACACAUGCAAGUCGAACGGUAACAGGCCGCAAGGUGCUGACGAGUGGCGAACGGGUGAGUAAUGCAUCGGAACGUGCCCAGUCGUGGGGGAUAACGCAGCGAAAGUUGCGCUAAUACCGCAUACGAUCUAUGGAUGAAAGCGGGGGACCGUAAGGCCGCGCGCGAUUGGAGCGGCCGAUGUCAGAUUAGGGAGUUGGUGGGGUAAAGGCUCACCAAGCCGACGAUCUGUAGCUGGUCUGAGAGGACGACCAGCCACACUGGGACUGAGACACGGCACGGAGUACGACGGUGGGGAGCAGUGGGGCAGUGUGGGAGAUGCGCGCAAGCCUGAUCCAGCAAUGCCGCGUGCAGGAAGAUGGCCGUCGGGUUGUAAACUGCUUUUGUACGCAACCAAUCGGUCCUGGUUAAUACCCGGGGCUAAUGACGGUACCGUAAGAAUAAGUACCGGCUAGCUACGUGCCAGCCGCCGCCGUAAAAC